CAAUAGCGUAUAUUAAAGUUGUUGCAGUUAAAAAGCUCGUAGUUGGAUUUCUGGUAGGAGUGACCGUUCCGAACUUGAUUGUUCGUGUAUUGUGUUUUCUCCAGCCAUCCUUGUGGAGAACUUUUCUUGCAUUAAUUUGUAGGGAUUGGGACCCGCAUCGUUUACUGUGAAAAAAUUAGAGUGUUUAAAGCAGGCAAUCGCUUGAAUACAUUAGCAUGGAAUAAUAAGAUAGGACUUUGGUACUAUUUUGUUGGUUUGCAUACCAAAUUAAUGAUCAACAGGAACAGUUUGAGGAUAUUCGUAUGAACAUGUCAGAGGUGAAAUUCUUGGAUUUCGAUCAGACGAACUACUGCGAAAGCAUUUAUCAAGGAUGUUUUCAUUAA
rnacentral:rRNA from 1 species